rnacentral:rRNA from 1 species
CCCUUAGAUGUCCUGGGCCGCCCGCGCGCUACACUGACAUGUUCAACAAGUUUCUCCUAGUUCGACAGGACUGGGAAAUCUUUGAACGCAUGUCGUGAUAGGGAUAGAUCAUUGCAAUUAUUGAUCUUGAACGAGGAAUUCCUAGUAAACGCGAGUCAUCAGCUCGCAUUGAUUACGUCCCUGCCCUUUGUACACACCGCCCGUCGCACCUACCGAUUGAAUGUUUCGGUGAAGAUUCCGGAUAGGACUGAUUUGAUUUAUUUCAUUUCUGACCUAAAAGCUAUCUAAACCUCAACAUUUAGAGGAAGGUGAAGUCGUAACA